rnacentral:misc_RNA from 1 species
UGCUUGUGCGACUUCCACCAUUUCCACAGAUAAGUCAAAGAGGAGAGAACAGGAAUGAGCAGAAUAAAUGUAUUUAGUACAACGGAAUUCCACUUAUAUGAAUGUACUAAAGCAUCAGAUUUUGUGACUUUAUCUCCACCAGGCAGACCCAUGAGCCCAAAUUCUUUAGUCAUAGAUGGAAGAGAAGAAAGGAUUAUAUCAGUUCUUUUGUUUGGAGGUAAUCCCAUUAACUCAGAAACUG